GCGAAAACCACAUGGCCAGUGCCAAUUUACCAAGUGGGAAAAUUGCCAACAACAUGGCGGCCGACAAAUUGUCCAUGGCAAGGUCAUAUCUGAGCAAAGCAUGAAAAGAUGGUGGUGGGUUGGAUGAUCAGGUGAUGGGGCGAGAGAGAGGGUGCUGUCCAGCCUCACCGCAGUUAAAUCGCCCGUGGCCACGCCCACACUGAUACCCGAUUGGUUAAGGCUGUCCCGCAAGGGACAACAACAACAUGGCUGGCAUGACACAGAGAGGAGGAGGCAACCCUCUGCCCCCUAAGCCUGGUCACAACGCCGCCCACCGGGAAAAGGUGAGUGGGCUUCUCACAGUGGACCGCCAGAUAUCUGGGGUGGAGGCCUCCAGCCCUGGGGCUUGGAUCUAGUGGCUAUUCAGGGCCCGGCAGUGUGUGUGUGUCUGUGUGUGUGUGUGUGUGUGUGUGUUUUGGGGAGUCUUGCCUCCCCUGCUCCUCCUCUAGGACACCCCAGGUUUGUGGGCCAGGCAGGGCUGAAUUCCUGGCAAAUGAGCAUGGACAGAAUGGCUCAAUGAGCUUGUUUUUCCCCAAGUCAACUUUUAAAGCAAGCUACCACCUUGCAUUGAAGAGGGUGUUGGAAUCCCCACUUCCCAAAAUUUCAAAAGUUUGAGUGGUGUCUCGAUUCUACCAGGGCCGUCUUUACCCGGAGGUGCAAGGGGUGCGGGGCAUCCGGGCGCCGAAUUCUGGGGGGCUCCAGGCACCCGCCACUGAAGCCGCCUAAGCUCUUAGCUGUCUACCUGUUAUGAAAUAAUAAAUAAUUUUGAUCAAGCUAGAAAAACAAAAUACAUAUAUACCUAGGCAUUACUGCAAUGUAUACCUACUGUUUCACUAAAGGACUUUCGACUUUGUGCACUCAUUUGCGUGCUCAGACCCAGAAACCUCCUGCCUAAAUAAAUUUACACUUGACUUAAAUUUUGGUUUUGGUUUUUGGCAAAAUUUAGGCCACAACUUUAUUGAUUACAGAAAAUGAUUGGUUGCAUAGGCUCUGGUUCGACUAGCUCCCUGCACCGUUGCAGGUAGCGCUGAGCCAGGGUUCCAGCAUAGGUCAGGCAAGGGUGAACACCUGGAUAGACGGACCUGGCUAUGUCCACCACCCAGAUGUCCCCCUGGACUCAGGCACAGGCACAACUCCCUCUCAGGGGUUGACCAAACCAUCGAGUCCCUGGAUUCUUUAACGGAAUACCCUUCACAUAGGGAUGGCGAGAGCGUUCUCCCAUCCCUAUCUCCUGAACCAGAGCCUUUCCGCAACCUUACAAAUUGUGACGCGGCAGGCGAAACCCAAAUGGCAACAGCCAAUCAGCCAAGUGGGGAAAAUUCCUGCCAUGCCCCUGUCCCAACGACAGACGACACACGACGGCAUAGCAAGGUCAAGCGCAAAGCCCUAAAAGUAGGGAGAGGUGGGCGGGGGUUCCGAAUGCACAUGCUGAAAGAGGAAGCUCUGGGUCACGUGCAUAGGUAUAUAUAGGUCCCUUGAUCCGUGUAGCUUGCAUCCCAUUGGCCUGAUUAAGCCCAGCAUCGAGGGACCUACCAAUAGGGUGUUGCGGUUAAACAAUCGUACCCACCCACAACACAGGGUUUGGUUGUCAGGUCUCACCGCAACACGUGCCCUCUUUAAGGGAGGACCCAAUUUACCAAAGAUGCACCGCACUUGUCAUUCACAACAGCGGCGCUUGUCAGAUUCAACGACGGCGCUUGUCAUUCACAAGAAGAGAUAAAGCGUAAGCGUGGUGACUGACACAAGCAUAAUAAAAGUUAAUUUGGGGGCUAAACUAAAUUUGGGGGCGCUGGGCGAAUCUUUGCACCCCGGUGGCGUAUAUGCUAAAGACAGGACUAGGUUCUACAAAAAAAGUGCACUGCUGGGGGUUGGACUAGAUGACCCUUAGGAUCCCUUCCAAUUCUACAUUUCUAUGAUUUUAUGAGAAAGAAGACAACAUACGAAUCUACAAAACUUUUACAAAAUGUGGUCUGCUUUUAUUUCAUUUGUAACAAAAGAAGAACAUGCUUUGAAACCAAACGGAGACGCACGGGAACGACGCUUUCUAUAUUACUAGUUCUUGAGUUAAUGUUUUAUUUUAUUAUUGCUAUUACAGCUGGACAUAUCUGGGGUUGUUACGGGUGGGGAGCUGUAACUGAUUGCAGGUUUGUUCCUAUAUUGAAAAUUAAUGAAAAUGAAAAAUCCCCCUCUGGCAUCAAAUCAGUUUGGUCUCAUAUUAAGGCCAACAAGUUCAGAACCUCACCUCUGGCCUUAACUCGCAUCUAUUCUGGGUGUCGGAGAAUGAUGCCAUUGCAACGAGGUCAUCCCGAACGAAAGCUAACUCGGUGUUCUCAAAAGCACAGGGUCACAUCAGUCAGUCUGGCCAAUCAGGAAGCCAGGCCAGGGGCUCUGCCUUCCGGCGAUGACUAAUGAGGCGGCUGGAACCUCCUAUGGAAUCCAGCCCAGAGAACGUCUCCCCUUCCCUAGGGUCAUUUACCUUCUCCAGUGGCUCCUCAACGUUCCUGAGGAUCAUUCCAGGCUUGAUCACGGCGUCCAAGAAAUCAGAGAAGGGAAACUCCAGAAUUUGCCCCAUCAGGGCUGGCUAGAAAGGUUUCCCAUAGAACCAGAAGCAUAACUCAGCCCAGUGGCUGCAAAAAAAAAAAAAGCAUUUAUUAGUUUUGUUUAUUUAUUCCCCUUCCCCAUUCUUAUUUCUGGAUUUGCUUCUAAUUGUGAAAUGCCUUAGGACAGGGGAAACUGCAUUGAUGGUUGCUGGACAGCUUUGAGAUUUGCCCUGGGAGAGAGACUGGAAUUUAGCAUCUUGUAAGACGGCAGGCUGCCUGAACAGCAUCACUCCGCGCUGCAACAUUUUGUCCCAGCUCUUGCUUGUCUUUCAAAUACCAUUCUAGUGGUCUUCACAUCUUCUUGUGGCAAUGCAGACAGUGACUUGCAAUCUCGAUCACACGCAGUCUGUAGUCCGCUGGCAGUAGGAGUACAAUAUGGGCAUGUCUUUAAGUUAACAUCUUACAUUAAAAACCCGACAGUACCAAACUAUCGAAGGCUUUUCACCAAAGCCAGACUCAACGUCUUUCCUUCUGCAGUGUUGGAUGGCAGGUUGAGAGGAGUUCCCUACCAGGACAGACUUUGCUCGUGUGCUCAAGACAUUGAUUCCAUAAAACAUAUUUUGUUGCACUGUGCAAAAUAUGAGCAAGCCAGGGCUGAACUGAUGCUACCCUUGCUGGUACCCUUCCCGGGAAAAUCAGAGGCUCACUAUGUCAGGUUCCUAUUGGAAGACCGGACAAACGCUAGAACAUUAGCAGUGGCAAAGUUUUUAUCGGUGGUUGCAAGAACCAAUGGUCCCUAUAUUCUGAACAAAAUGCUUGUUUAACCUGGAGGUAGGCUGUAUGAAUUGUGUAUUGCUUUGUAACGAUUUGUUGGGUCUCUGGACCGUAAUAAAGGUUGUUGAUGAUGAUGAUGAUGAUGAUGAUGAUGUGGCAAUGAGUUCUCCUAUUGUGCAUUGUGCAAAGGGCAGGAAUAAAAAUGUAACAGUCCUGCAAAUAAUUGUUUCCCCUUUCUGGAGAUUUAUUACCGGUAUAUAUUCAUUUUCUUUCUUUCUUUCUUUCUUUCUUUCUUUCUUUCUUUCUUUCUUUCUUUCCUUCUUUCGCUUCUCUCUGUCCUUUGAUCCCCUGGGAGCGCUGUUCAUCUGUUUCCUGUACAGAUACACUUCGGCAGUUUUUGGAUGGGGAAAAUCUAAACAAUACUCAUAAGUGAGAUCAAAAAGUUUUCUAGAACACCCAAGCAUAUUGUAAGCUGCCCUACACUGAAUCAGAUUGUUGGUCUUAGUAUUAGUAUUAGCUUAAUAUUAUUUAUCCUUAACUGGCAGCAGUUUCUCUCCUAACACUAGAACUUGCGGACAUCCAAUGAAUCUGAAGUCUGGAAGAUCCAGGACAGAUUAAAGGAAAGACUUCUUCACGCAGCGCAGAGUUAAACUAUGGAACUCCCUGCCACAGGAGGCAGUGAUGGCCACCAAGCCUUUAAAAGAAGAUUGGACAAAUUCAUGGAGGAGGAGAGGCUAUUGAUGGCUACUCGCUAGGAUGGCUGUGCUUCCACCUCCGUAUUCCCAGGGAGCCAGAUCUUGAAAACAUGAUGCCAACUGUUUGUCAUGUCCAGAACAUCAGCAAACUGGUUUUUGGAAGCACCGCUACCUGCAACUUUGAUGAGAAAAUAGUGUUGGAUCAGACCAAUGGCCUACCUAGUCCAGCAUCCUUUAUUCACAGUGGCCAACCAGAUAUCCAUGGGGAACUCACAAGCAAGGUUCAAGUAGGGGGGGCGGGAGCAAGUUUCAAGUAAUAAUAAUAAUAAUUAUCAUUAUUAUUAUUUGUACUUCGCCCUCCCCGGCCAGAGCUGGACUCAGGGAGGCUAACACCAAUAAAAUCACAGUAAAAACAUCAUAAGGGGGAAAGAGAGGGGGGGACCAAUUUAAAAUGCAAUUUAAAAUGCAGUCUCAUUUUAAAGCAGCUGAUAAAUCAAGACCAUAAGGAGAGGGAAACAUAAAGGUCAGGCUGAGUCCAAACCAAAGGCCAGGCGGAACAGCUCCGUCUUGCAGGCUCUGUGGAAAGAUGUCAAGUCCCGCAGGGCCCUGGUCUCUUGUGACAGAGCGUUCCACCACGUCGGGGCCAGUGCUGAAAAGGCCCUGGCCCUGGUUGAAACCAAUCUAACCUCCUUGAGGCUCAGGACCUCCAAAGUGUUGUUAUUUGUGGACCUUAAGGUCCUCCGCGGGGCAGACCAGUACAAGAACGACUCUGGCCUGCUGUGGUUUCCAGCAACUGGUUACACCGCAAUAAGUGUUUGUUGUUCUAGGAGUGUACACAGUAAAAGGAAAAGGAAAAAAAACAACUCUUUAUUUCUGUACAUAAAGCUACCUAUUGUUUUUAUCCCAUCCCUUUUCCAAGUUGCUCAGGGUGGCAAACAUGGUUUCCCUCCACAGCUCUCUCUGCACAAGCCUGCAAGGAUGGCUAGGCUGCAAAAUGGUGAUAGGUACAAGAGUUUUCCCAAAUACAACGACAGCAGUGUGACUACUACUGGCCCAGAGAUGGAAAGACGAUAAAGUUCCAACCAGAGAGGAAUGGAUGAUGGACUGCACCGAAAUGGUGAAAUUGACCUGGAAAAUCAGAAACCCAGAAGAGAAGAACUUUAAGAAGAAAUGGGGAAAGCUUACAACAUACUGUAUUUUUCCAUCUAUAAGACCCCACAGUGUAUUUUGGGGGACUCCAAAUUAAGAAAACACUCCUCAGCACUACCCAUGUAUAAGACGAGCCCCAAUUUUAAACCUAAUUUUUGGGUUAAAAAACCCUAGUCUUAUACACGGAAAAAUACGGUACUUAGGAGAACACUGCAAACAACUAAAAACUUUGGAAGGAUUUGAGUAAUGCUUGUACAGUGGUACCUCAAUUUAAGUACUUAAUUUGUUCCGGAGGUCCGUUAUUAACCUGAAACUGUUCUUAACCUGAAGCACCACUUUAGCUAAUGGGGCCUCCUGCUGCUGCCGCGCUGCCGGAGCCCGAUUUCUGUUCUCAUCCUGAAGCAAAGUUCUUAACCUGAAACACUAUUUCUGGGUUAGCAGAGUCUAUAACCUGAAGCAUAUGUAACCUGAAGCGUAUGUAACCACUGUGAUAUACAAAGAACUAUGGUAAAAAUGGAUUAUUUCCUUAAAAUUAGAGAAAGUAAGGAAGGCAGUUGAAAAAAAGAUUGAUAAUGGUAACCGUGGAAGGGUGGAGGGGAGUUGAUGGAAUCAGGGAAUCCUAAAUGAUGAUGUUGAUGUUUAAUGUUUGACUGCAAAUUUGUUAUGUAAAACUCUCUCUCUCUCUCUCUCUCUCUCUCUCUCUCUCUCUUUCUUGUGUUUUCCCAAAUAAAGUUCCUGGAGAACUGAACCUGGGUUUCCACAGACUUCGACCACAUCACAUCAUCACGAUGCCUAGAGCCACUAUCAACUUCCUAGCUGUUGUGCAAUUCUCCCGCCACUGUUAACAGGCCCU